rnacentral:rRNA from 1 species
AGUGAACGCUGGCGGUAGGCCUAACACAUGCAAGUCGAACGGCAGCACAGUAAGAUCUUGCUCUUACGGGUGGCGAGUGGCGGACGGGUGAGGAAUACAUCGGAAUCUACUUUUUCUUGGGGGAUAACGUAGGGAAACUUACGCUAAUACCUCAUACGACCUACGGGUGAAAGCAGGGGAUCUUCGGACCUUGCGCGAUUGAAUGAGCCGAUGUCGGAUUAGCUAGUUGGCGGGGUAAAGGCCCACCAAGGCGACGAUCCGUAGCUGGUCUGAGAGGAUGAUCGGCCACACUGGAACUGAGACACGGUCCAGACUCCUACGGGAGGCAGCAGUGGGGAAUAUUGGACAAUGGGCGCAAGACUGAUCCAGCAAUACCGCGUGGGUGAAGAAGGCCUUCGGGUUGUAAAGCCCUUUUGUUGGGAAAGAAAAGCAGCAGGUUAAUACCCCGCUGUUCUGACGGUACCCAAAGAAUAAGCACCGGCUAACUUCGUG